AGCGGCGGACGGGUGAGUAAUGCCUAGGAAUCUGCCUGGUAGUGGGGGAUAACGUUCGGAAACGGACGCUAAUACCGCAUACGUCCUACGGGAGAAAGCAGGGGACCUUCGGGCCUUGCGCUAUCAGAUGAGCCUAGGUCGGAUUAGCUAGUUGGUGAGGUAAUGGCUCACCAAGGCGACGAUCCGUAACUGGUCUGAGAGGAUGAUCAGUCACACUGGAACUGAGACACGGUCCAGACUCCUACGGGAGGCAGCAGUGGGGAAUAUUGGACAAUGGGCGAAAGCCUGAUCAGCCAUGCCGCGUGUGUGAA
rnacentral:rRNA from 1 species